UUCUCCACUGCCCAGCCAUGAACUCUGCCACUCUGACAUUCUGUGUGUUUCUUAUCUGGCCUGUGGCCUCUGAUGUGGUUUUAACUCAAACUCCGAGUAUGGCAUCAGCCAGUCUCGGAGGAGAUAUCAGCAUCAAGUGCAGUGCCAGCCAGGAUAUUAACUGGGGCUUAGCGUGGUACCACAUGACACCUGGACAGCCCCCAAGACUCCUCAUCAAACAAGGAGAUGAGCUCUACACAAAUGUGCCAAACAGGUUUACUGGAAAGAAAUCUGGGACUGACUUCACUAUGACCAUCACUGGAGUCCAGGCUAAAGACGCAGGACAUUACUACUGUCAGCAGUACAAUACGUUUCCUUACACAGUGAUAAAGAGCCAUACCAAAACCUCCAUGAAUGUCACCAACUAUAUACUAUGCUGCAGUCAAGAUGGGGAGAUUGUCCUGACCCAGACACCUACAGAGCAGUCGGCCUUUCCUGGACAAAUCUGCUGUGUCAGACCAGCAGUGCCCUUGGAUUUCAGAAUCUCUGGAGGGACACGCAGCACAGCCUGGCCUGGCCUGGCACCAUCAGAGGACUGCUGA